GUGGGGAAUAUUGGACAAUGGGCGCAAGCCUGAUCCAGCCAUGCCGCGUGAGUGAUGAAGGCCCUAGGGUUGUAAAGCUCUUUCGACGGGGACGAUAAUGACGGUACCCGUAGAAGAAGCCCCGGCUAACUUCGUGCCAGCAGCCGCGGUAAUACGAAGGGGGCUAGCGUUGUUCGGAAUCACUGGGCGUAAAGCGCACGCAGGCGGAUCGUUAAGUCAGGGGUGAAAUCCCGAGGCUCAACCUCGGAACUGCCUUUGAUACUGGCGAUCUUUGAGUCCGGGAGAGGUGAGUGGAACUCCGAGUGUAGAGGUGAAAUUCGUAGAUAUUCGGAAGAACACCAGUGGCGAAGGCGGCUCACUGGCCCGGUACUGACGCUCAUGUGCGAAAGCGUGGGGAGCAAACAGGAUUAGAUACCCGAGUAGUCC
rnacentral:rRNA from 1 species